UACGAAGGGUGCAAACGUUGCUCGGAAUUACUGGGCGUAAAGCGUGCGCAGGCGGCCUUCCAAGUCAGGGGUGAAAGCCCAGAGCUCAACUCUGGAAUUGCCUUUGAGACUGUGAGGCUUGAGUACGGGAGAGGUGAGUGGAAUUCCCAGUGUAGAGGUGGAAUUCGUAGAUAUUGGGAAGAACACCGGUGGCGAAGGCGGCUCACUGGCCCGAAACUGACGCUCAUGCACGACAGCGUGGGGAUCAAACAGG
rnacentral:rRNA from 1 species